UGGGUGGUAUGCUCCAUCUAAAGCUAAAUAUUGGCGAGAGACCGAUAGCGAACAAGUACUGUGAAGGAAAGAUGAAAAGAACUUUGAAAAGAGAGUGAAAAAGUACGUGAAAUUGUUGAAAUGGAAGGCAAUGAGGUGCGAUUGAACCGGACGUUUGCGGGCAGGACAAAAGCGCAGGCCGCCUCGGCAUUGCCUGCGUGCAUACUGCCUCGCGGACUACCAGUUCUAACAACGCCUUAUUGCACCCGUC
rnacentral:rRNA from 1 species